rnacentral:rRNA from 1 species
UACGUAGGGUGCGAGCGUUAAUCGGAAUUACUGGGCGUAAAGCGUGCGCAGGCGGUUCGUUAUGUCCGAUGUGAAAGCCCCGAGCUCAACUUGGGAAUGGCAUUGGAAACUGGCGGGCUGGAGUGUGGCAGAGGGGGGUGGAAUUCCACGUGUAGCAGUGAAAUGCGCAGAGAUGUGGAGGAACACCGAUGGCGAAGGCAGCCCCCUGGGCCAACACUGACGCUCAGGCACGAAAGCGUGGGGAGCAAACAGG